rnacentral:lncRNA from 1 species
AUGAAGAGAAUGGCUUACUAUUUGAAAAAGAAAAAAGAAAAAACAUGGAUAAAGAGAUUGAAAGACGAAAAUGGGAAAGAACAAGAGGAGCAAAGUAAGAUUAGGGAGAUAAUGGCAAAAUAUUAUAAAGAUCUAUAUAAGGAAGAGAGGGUAAUGCAAGGGAACUUAAAUAUCAGAGAAAAAGAAAUAAUAUUUAGGGAAUGGAGUAGGAGAGAAGAAGCAGAAUUUAAGGAACCUUUUAAAGGAACAAUAAAAGUGUGGAAAAAAAGAAAGAAGAAGCUAAGUCCAGGCAAUGAGAAUAAGAUGGCAACUAUAUGGCAAAUUAAUUACAAUAACAACGAAAUUAUAGGCAGAACAUUGAGAUCAAUUGAAAGUAGAGGGAAAAGGUUAGUGGAGGAUUUGUAUACAAUAGAUGGAGACCCUGUAGAACAAAAAGAAAUUCAGAAUUGGAUAGGAUCAGGGAAUUGGAUUCAAAGCUGGGCUAUAAGACAGGAAAUUUUUAGAUCGAGAGAAAAAAUUAGAGAACAGGACAGUCCAUUUGAGAAGGUGAUUAGGAAAUGUUUGAGAGAGGAAAAGAAGGUGGCAGGAGAUCUGUAUGAACAAAUUAUAACGGUAAAAGAAGAAAUAGUAGAGGAAAUUUUCCAAACAUGGAGAAUGGACAUGGAAAUUGAGAGGGAAGAUAUACAGAGGGAAAUAAGUAAUAUAGCAAAAGAAAAGUACAGUGUAUUAAGGGAAGCAAGAAGGAAAAUAUUACAAAAAUGGUACAGAACUCCUGCACAACUUUCACGGUUUUUACCAGGGAUGAAAGAUAGGUGUUGGCACGGUUGUGAACAAAGAGGGGUGUUUAAUCAUAUGAUAUGGGAGUGUGAUCGGGUACAAGAAUACUGGAGAAUGAUUGAAGGAGAAAUCAAUAGAAUGCUAAAUCUACAAAUAGUAAUAGAUAAUAGAAAAGUGCUACAUGCAAGGAUAACAGAAGUGAAGAAUAUACAAAAAGAAAAAAUGAUUGACAAAUUAAUAGCAUGUGCACAAAUUGUUUUAGUGAGCGGUUGGAAAGAUAAAACAAAAUGGACUUUGACGAAUUGGUUGAUAUGUUAAAUGUAGAAAUCACAAAUUGCAGAUGGAAUAAUAUAGAUAAAAUUGAAAAUAUUGCAAUAAUCAAGGGGAUGUGGGAACCAGUUAAGAACUAUUUAGAGAAUGUACUAAGAUGUGGAGUGGAAAAAUUAAGAUUGAGAUUGAUAUUUCAAAUGUAACUUCUGUAGUUUGUUGUAUAAAGUGUAUGUACAAGGAGGGGAGGGUGGGAGGGUGGGAGUGGGAUAAAAUGACAAAACAACAACAAUAAAAAAACUCCUUGUAUUCUUCGCUUUUCUUCAGGCAGUCCCUUCCAGAAGAAGGUGUAGCCUCCUUUUUCUUCCUUCAGCUGUCCCUCUCCUGUUCUCUGGGUCUGCUGAAGUGCUGCUAUGUCGAUGUUAAAGCGUCCCAGUUCCCUUGCAAUAAUAGCAGUCCUGAGUUCAGGGUGUUGUCCAGUGUUGUCCAACAGUGUUCGUACGUUCCAUGUUCCAAAGUUUAUUUUUCUUUUCUGGCCACAGGGUGGUGACCCCUCUGGAUGCGGCAGUCCAGUCAGGGAUAAGAGAGGCAGACAAUGUUUAGGGCACCUUUUCUAGCCCCUUCUCCAUGUGGGGUGAGCAAAGCUGAUCCUAAAAAGGGCUGCUUAGCCAUGGAUACAGCUGCCGGACUUUUCAACUACCUUAGUCCUUGAGGCAGAACGACUGAAUCCAUAUCCACCACCCAUGUGCCAGUCUGUGACUAGGGGCUUCCAGAUUUUACAGUCCUGCCCCUGUCACCACUCGCAAAUCGCCAUGGGACUUUUAUUGUUUUGUUUUUUUUAAUAUUUCUUGGAAGAUUCCUGUGAAUGAUUUUUUUUAAUGUGUGGAGGUCAAUGCAGUGGCAUGAUUAACAUGACGGUGGCUUAUUAGUUUGUUGCAGCUUUCUUCUGCCUUCACAGCCGUUGUAACAUGUGCAAUGUUACCCUUCGUCUUCUUUGCUGUUGAGGUCUUAGGGUCUUCAAAUUGUUCUUGGUCUGGAUCCUCCCUUGCGUCCCCUCCUGGAAGUGCAUGACUCCAGUGGAUGUGCCAGCAGGCUCAUUGGAACAUGCAAGCCUGCUCACCACUACAAGGUGACAAUCCUGGAAAGAAGUGAGGAGUGGAGGGCCAGAGGCAGUGUUCCAUCCUGAGCCCGGUUCUGUUCAAGAUCUUUAUUCAUGACUUAGAUGAAGGGUUAGAAGCCACGAUCACUAAGUUUGCAGACAGGACCAAACUAGGGGGCAGAGCCACAACUCCAGAAGAGAGGAUCAGAAUUCACAAUGAUCUUAACAGAUUAGAGAGAUGAUUGGCCAAAGUUCAAUAGGGACAAAUGCAAGAGACUCCACUUAGGCAGAAAAAAGGAAAUACAAAGAGACAGAAUGGGGGAUGAUACCUGGCUCAAAGGAGUACAUGUGAAAAAGAUCUUGGAGUCCUCAUGGGAAGGAAGGGGAACAUGAGCCAACAUUGCCAUGCUGUGGCUCAAAAAGUCAUUGUGAUUUUGGACUGCAUCAAUAGAAGUCUAGAUCUAGGGAAAUCAUGCUCCUCCUCUAUUCUGCCUUGCUCUUUGGAUAGAGAACAAUAGUAAAUGCAAUGACAGGAUUUUAUGUCCUAAUUGAAAAUAUGUUAUCUAGGAGAUUGUCUAAUCAGAAGCAGUGCUGUGGGCCUAGUCUGGUUAGAUGGGAAAGAAAUGGUAAAGAACCUGCACGGCACAGCACACGGCACGGCACGGCACUCAGCACGGCACGGCACUCGGCACGGCACUCGG